GGAGGUGUUGACCUGGCGGCACUGCUUCCUGAUCUGGCCGUUUGCGCCGGUGAGCACGUCGACGCGGCCCAUCUUCUUCAUGGACAUGGAGAAGGCGGCGUAGAACUUGAUGGGGUUGGUGAGGUCGGCCACCAUCUGCGCGGCGGCGGCGUUCUGCGCCAGCGCGGCGUCGGAGGCCAGCGUGCCCUGCCUCUGCUGCACCCUGGUGUAGUACCCGCUGUCGAACCGGAACGGCGUGCCGCCGUCCAGCGCCACGGUGGCCGACGCCGGCGACGGGUUGGGGCACGACGACAUGAGCG
rnacentral:lncRNA from 1 species